rnacentral:snRNA from 1 species
AUACUUACCUGGACGGGGUCAAUGAGUGAUCAGGAAGACUCAUGGCCUAGAGCAGUGACCUCCAUUGCACUUGGGAGGGGUGCUGCUUUAAGGUCUCCCCAAGAGGGAGAGCCUACGUCAUAAUUUGUGGCAGUGGGGGGCUUGCGUUCGCGCAGCCCCUAU